rnacentral:lncRNA from 1 species
UUAUACCACUUGACCUCGGAUUGCAUUUGAAGAGCUGCUCCUGGGGUACUCCAAGGCCGCUCUUUGUUGAACCUGGCUGCCAAAUGCAGAGCGCUAUUCCCUUCUUUAUCAACUCCGCCAAACAAAGUCUCUCUCAUUGUAUCAGGCAAUUUCAAUUUUCCUGUUCUCAACAUAUAUUUAUAAAUAUGGGUCUGUCGGUGCUCCGCGGCUAAUAGUACAAUAUUCUUUCCAUACGAAUCCACAUCAAGAGCUGCCACUGGAGAGAUAUAUAGAAUUUCAGUCACCAUCUCUAUCACGCCUCUCUUUGCUGCCACUAGAAAUGGUGAAGCU